AGUGAACGCUGGGGUAGGCCUAACACAUGCAAGUCGAACGGCAGCACAGUAAGAGCUUGCUCUUACGGGUGGCGAGUGGCGGACGGGUGAGGAAUACAUCGGAAUCUACUUUUUCGUGGGGGAUAACGUAGGGAAACUUACGCUAAUACCGCAUACGACCUACGGGUGAAAGCAGGGGAUCUUCGGACCUUGCGCGAUUGAAUGAGCCGAUGUCGGAUUAGCUAGUUGGCGGGGUAAAGGCCCACCAAGGCGACGAUCCGUAGCUGGUCUGAGAGGAUGAUCAGCCACACUGGAACUGAGACACGGUCCAGACUCCUACGGGAGGCAGCAGUGGGGAAUAUUGGACAAUGGGCGCAAGCCUGAUCCAGCCAUACCGCGUGGGUGAAGAAGGCCUUCGGGUUGUAAAGCCCUUUUGUUGGGAAAGAAAAGCAGCAGGUUAAUACCCCGCUGUUCUGACGGUACCCAAAGAAUAAGCACCGGCUAACUUCGUG
rnacentral:rRNA from 1 species